GAAAACUGUUGGAGCAUUAAACAAUGUCAGAAACACAGAGUAUCCUUUUUGCCUUUUCUUCCAGUUAGGCACACGUUAAUUCAUAGUGAACUGCUAGUAGCACUUAAAGAUUGACCUGAUUCUCGAACCUUUUUUUAGGAUACUGAUAGCAGAAAGAGAUUAUUGCAACGGAAGUAUUGGACACUUGUCAUUGGAUCACCUAGGCGAUCAAAGGGAGUGAUUUCUGCACCAUUGGGAAAGGUGCUGAUGGACAAUGGGAAAUCAGAUCGUAUAACGAUUAUCAAUGGCAGUCAUACGAUCCCAUCUCAUCAUGCACUAACAGAGUAUCAAGUGAUUGAAUCUCGUCAUGGCUAUACGUGGCUAGAGUUCUCACCGCUCACUGGAAGAAAGCAUCAGGUAUGUUAUAACCAAGAUGUUUACAUUCCCAAAAAAGAACUUGAAUCAAGAUUUUAUCUUAUCAGUUUAUGUGCACAUCUUUGACUUCCAUUCUGGACAAAUUCUUCCAC